rnacentral:rRNA from 1 species
AGAGUUUGAUCCUGGCUCAGAUUGAACGCUGGCGGCAUGCUUUACACAUGCAAGUCGAACGGCAGCACGGGGGCAACCCUGGUGGCGAGUGGCGAACGGGUGAGUAAUGCAUCGGAACGUAUCCUUGAGUGGGGGAUAACGCAGCGAAAGUUGUGCUAAUACCGCAUAAGCUCUGAGGGGGGAAAGCGGGGGAUCUUCGGACCUCGCGCUAAGAGAAGAGCCUACGUCUGAUUAGCUAGUUGGUAGGGUAAAGGCCUACCAAGGCGACGAUCAGUAGCUGGUCUGAGAGGACGACCAGCCACACUGGGACUGAGACACGGCCCAGACUCCUACGGGAGGCGAC